AAGUCGUAACAAGGUUUCCGUAGGUGAACCUGCGGAAGGAUCAUUAAAGUGUUUCGGAGCCUGGCUCGGGCAUCUCACCUCGAGGUGUCGGUGUCAGCGCCCCCACACGUGUUUACUCAACUUGGUUGCCUUGGUGAGCCUGCCCUCGUGGCUGCCGGGGAUGCCUCACGGCGUUCCGGGCUCGUGCUCACCAGUGGAACAUUUGAACUCUUCUGUGAAAAUAGUCAGUCUGAGCAUUAUGCAAAUUAAAUAAAACUUUCAACAACGGAUCUCUUGGUUCCG
rnacentral:misc_RNA from 1 species